rnacentral:rRNA from 1 species
CCUACGGGAGGCAGCAGUGGGGAAUAUUGGACAAUGGGCGCAAGCCUGAUCCAGCAAUGCCGCGUGAGUGAUGAAGGCCUUAGGGUCGUAAAGCUCUUUUACCAGGGAUGAUAAUGACAGUACCUGGAGAAUAAGCUCCGGCUAACUCCGUGCCAGCAGCCGCGGUAAUACGGAGGGAGCUAGCGUUGUUCGGAAUUACUGGGCGUAAAGCGUACGUAGGCGGUUAUUCAAGUCAGAGGUGAAAGCCCGGGGCUCAACCCCGGAACGGCCUUUGAAACUAGGUAGCUAGAAUCUUGGAGAGGUCAGUGGAAUUCCGAGUGUAGAGGUGAAAUUCGUAGAUAUUCGGAAGAACACCAGUGGCGAAGGCGACUGACUGGACAAGUAUUGACGCUGAGGUACGAAAGCGUGGGGAGCAAACAGGAUUAGAUACCCUGGUAGUCCACGCCGUAAACGAUGAUAACUAGCUGUCCGGGCACUUGGUGCCUGGGUGGCGCAGCUAACGCAUUAAGUUAUCCGCCUGGGGAGUACGGUCGCAAGAUUAAAACUCAAAGGAAUUGACGGCUGAGACGNGCGACGACGACGACGAGGAGGAGG